rnacentral:lncRNA from 10 species
AACUUGAAACUGCUCUUAAAAAAAUAAGGUCUUUUUUUUAAAGGGAGGGAGGGAUCUUUUAAAUUGUCUCUUUCUUGUAUAUCAAAAGCUAAGCUAUGCCAGCAUCUGAAACAGAAAGUGGCUGAGGGUACCUCUGUCACUUGGACCUCUUCUGCUCACAGCCUCCCUGAACUGGUGGCCAGGGAAGGCAGUGGGAGGAGAGGACCAAGUCUCAAACUCCAGAAGCCCCACCUCCCUGAGCUCAGCAACUCUGCCAAGCCCCCUCAGCGCGAAGUCCUCGUCCAGAGAAGGCAACGGCGAGAAACAAAUCCAACAUCCUGGGCUGCUUUUUCCUUCCCCCACUUUUUAAAAGUUUGGUGUCCAAGUCACUUGACAAACCCAGACCCUAACAAUGACAUUUUGUGUAGAAUUCUGGGAUCAAAAUAUAAUUUCAAAAAUAAUAUAUUUUCUGACAUCCCCCAAGAAAAAAAGUACUGGUUUCUUCCCCCUAAAAGGAUUUAGAUGGAAUAACAUCUGUGCUGAGAAUAUUGUGAAUAUGUUGAACUGACAGGCAGUCUCUAAGGCACUCCGCUCAUUAAUGUGCUGUGCAUAAAAUUAAAACUUGAA